GGAUGAAAAUUAAGAUUUACAAGAAGAGAAAGCUUUUCAGCAAGAAGAACAAACAUUAGCCGAGCUUUUGGUUGAUGAAGAACUUGUAAUGCACCUUUGAAUAGCACUGAUUUGCCGUCCAACGAAGUUGAAGCUGAUUUUAUAUUUAAUCAAUAUGAGUCAGAGGGCAACGAUCAGUUCAUAAAUGAUGAUGAGAUAGAAGAUGAUACAUAUAUCGAUUACUGU
rnacentral:lncRNA from 1 species